GCAUUCGUGGUUCAGUGGUAGAAUUGGUCGUUGCCAUCGACUAGACUCGGGGUAUGUUUCUCAAGGAUCUUCACAACCACACCUUAAUUCUGACGAUCUGUUCAGUUCGAUUCCCGACGAAUGCA